UGGGGAAUAUUGCACAAUGGGCGAAAGCCUGAUGCAGCCAUGCCGCGUGUGUGAAGAAGGCCUUAGGGUUGUAAAGCGCUUUCAGCGAGGAGGAAAGGAUUAAAGUUAAUACCUUUAGUCUGUGACGUUACUCGCAGAAGAAGCACCGGCUAACUCCGUGCCAGCAGCCGCGGUAAUACGGAGGGUGCGAGCGUUAAUCGGAAUUACUGGGCGUAAAGCGUGCGUAGGCGGCUACUUAAGUUGGAUGUGAAAGCCCCGGGCUCAACCUGGGAACUGCAUCCAAAACUGAGUGGCUAGAGUGCGAGAGAGGAGUGUGGAAUUUCCUGUGUAGCGGUGAAAUGCGUAGAUAUAGGAAGGAACACCAGUGGCGAAGGCGACACUCUGGCUUGACACUGACGCUGAGGUACGAAAGCGUGGGGAGCAAACAGGAUUAGAUACCCUGGUAGUCCACGCCGUAAACGAUGUCUACUAGUUGUCCGUUGUCUUGUACGAUGGGUAACGCAGCUAACGCGAUAAGUAGACCGCCUGGGGAGUACGGCCGCAAGGUUA
rnacentral:rRNA from 1 species